GGGUUGUGAGGUUAAGCGACUAAGCGUACACGGUGGAUGCCCUGGCAGUCAGAGGCGAUGAAGGACGUGCUAAUCUGCGAUAAGCGUCGGUGAGGUGAUAUGAACCGUUAUAACCGGCGAUUUCCGAAUGGGGAAACCCAGUGUGUUUCGACACACUAUCAUUAACUGAAUCCAUAGGUUAAUGAGGCGAACCGGGGGAACUGAAACAUCUAAGUACCCCGAGGAAAAGAAAUCAACCGAGAUUCCCCCAGUAGCGGCGAGCGAACGGGGAGGAGCCCAGAGCCUGAAUCAGUGUGUGUGUUAGUGGAAGCGUCUGGAAAGGCGCGCGAUACAGGGUGACAGCCCCGUACACAAAAAUGCACAUAUUGUGAGCUCGAUGAGUAGGGCGGGACACGUGGUAUCCUGUCUGAAUAUGGGGGGACCAUCCUCCAAGGCUAAAUACUCCUGACUGACCGAUAGUGAACCAGUACCGUGAGGGAAAGGCGAAAAGAACCCCGGCGAGGGGAGUGAAAAAGAACCUGAAACCGUGUACGUACAAGCAGUGGGAGCCUCUUAAUGGGGUGACUGCGUACCUUUUGUAUAAUGGGUCAGCGACUUAUAUUCUGUAGCAAGGUUAACCGAAUAGGGGAGCCGAAGGGAAACCGAGUCUUAACUGGGCGUUAAGUUGCAGGGUAUAGACCCGAAACCCGGUGAUCUAGCCAUGGGCAGGUUGAAGGUUGGGUAACACUAACUGGAGGACCGAACCGACUAAUGUUGAAAAAUUAGCGGAUGACUUGUGGCUGGGGGUGAAAGGCCAAUCAAACCGGGAGAUAGCUGGUUCUCCCCGAAAGCUAUUUAGGUAGCGCCUCGUGAAUUCAUCUCCGGGGGUAGAGCACUGUUUCGGCAAGGGGGUCAUCCCGACUUACCAACCCGAUGCAAACUGCGAAUACCGGAGAAUGUUAUCACGGGAGACACACGGCGGGUGCUAACGUCCGUCGUGAAGAGGGAAACAACCCAGACCGCCAGCUAAGGUCCCAAAGUCAUGGUUAAGUGGGAAACGAUGUGGGAAGGCCCAGACAGCCAGGAUGUUGGCUUAGAAGCAGCCAUCAUUUAAAGAAAGCGUAAUAGCUCACUGGUCGAGUCGGCCUGCGCGGAAGAUGUAACGGGGCUAAACCAUGCACCGAAGCUGCGGCAGCGACACUAUGUGUUGUUGGGUAGGGGAGCGUUCUGUAAGCCUGUGAAGGUGGCCUGUGAGGGUUGCUGGAGGUAUCAGAAGUGCGAAUGCUGACAUAAGUAACGAUAAAGCGGGUGAAAAGCCCGCUCGCCGGAAGACCAAGGGUUCCUGUCCAACGUUAAUCGGGGCAGGGUGAGUCGACCCCUAAGGCGAGGCCGAAAGGCGUAGUCGAUGGGAAACAGGUUAAUAUUCCUGUACUUGGUGUUACUGCGAAGGGGGGACGGAGAAGGCUAUGUUGGCCGGGCGACGGUUGUCCCGGUUUAAGCGUGUAGGCUGGUUUUCCAGGCAAAUCCGGAAAAUCAAGGCUGAGGCGUGAUGACGAGGCACUACGGUGCUGAAGCGACAAAUGCCCUGCUUCCAGGAAAAGCCUCUAAGCAUCAGGUAACAUCAAAUCGUACCCCAAACCGACACAGGUGGUCAGGUAGAGAAUACCAAGGCGCUUGAGAGAACUCGGGUGAAGGAACUAGGCAAAAUGGUGCCGUAACUUCGGGAGAAGGCACGCUGAUAUGUAGGUGAAGCGACUUGCUCGUGGAGCUGAAAUCAGUCGAAGAUACCAGCUGGCUGCAACUGUUUAUUAAAAACACAGCACUGUGCAAACACGAAAGUGGACGUAUACGGUGUGACGCCUGCCCGGUGCCGGAAGGUUAAUUGAUGGGGUUAGCGGUAACGCGAAGCUCUUGAUCGAAGCCCCGGUAAACGGCGGCCGUAACUAUAACGGUCCUAAGGUAGCGAAAUUCCUUGUCGGGUAAGUUCCGACCUGCACGAAUGGCGUAAUGAUGGCCAGGCUGUCUCCACCCGAGACUCAGUGAAAUUGAACUCGCUGUGAAGAUGCAGUGUACCCGCGGCAAGACGGAAAGACCCCGUGAACCUUUACUAUAGCUUGACACUGAACAUUGAGCCUUGAUGUGUAGGAUAGGUGGGAGGCUUUGAAGUGUGGACGCCAGUCUGCAUGGAGCCGACCUUGAAAUACCACCCUUUAAUGUUU
rnacentral:rRNA from 1 species